rnacentral:rRNA from 1 species
UACGGAGGGUGCAAGCGUUAUCCGGAUUCACUGGGUUUACAGGGCGCGCAGGCGGAUUUGUAAGUCAGUGGUGAAAGGCUUAAGCUUAACUUGGGAACUGCCAUUGAUACUAUAAGUCUUGAAUGUUGUUGAGGUUUGCGGAAUGGGUCAUGUAGCGGUGAAAUGCAUAGAUAUGACCCGGAACACCUAUUGCGAAGGCAGCUCGCUACACAUAUAUUGACUCUGAGGCACGAAAGCGUGGGGAUCAAACAGG